GCGAUCUCACGGGUCACAAACAAACCAUUACCACAAUCGGCAAUUGAAUAUGAACUGCUAAAGUAACACCACCCCCAACCAGCACAAGCAGACGCAUGCACAAAAAACUGCAUAAUGGAAUCCACCAGGUGGAAUCACAAAAACUAAUCUUGAAAACCAAAUCCGCUGAUAUGACAAAAUUUACGCAACCCAAAGAGUUCCAAAAAAAAGAUCCAUUCAUAUUAAACACCAUAAACUAGACGACUACCCAAGUCAACCAGAAGUCAUAAUGUAUAGAGAGAAACAUAUAGAUAAGUAGCUGAAAACAUCAAAAUGGUGCAAAAAUCACGGCAAAA